rnacentral:miRNA from 14 species
GGUUUCCCUGUGUAGCCCUGGCUGUCCUGGAACUCACUCUGUAGACCAGGCUGGCCUUGAACUCAAGAGAUCUACCUGCCUCUGCCUCCAGAGUGCUGGGAUUAAAGGCAUGCACCACCACUACCCG